AUUGCCAAUAUACAAGUGUUUCUUUGGCAUAUGCAUUUCUGAAGUUUUUUUGCUAAUUAUUGAUUAUAUUGUAGGAAAUAAAACGCCCGUCCCAACUUCCACGAUCAGGAUUCAAAAACCUCAAACAGCGAAGGAAAAUGAAAAUCCUAAUAUUACGAAAAAAAACACGAAAGUGAAAAUUAACUCAAUUAUUACAGGAUUGGAUUACGGAACCGUGAAAGCCGAUGCCAUUUUUGAAAGCUGGUGCGACAAUCUACGCGCAUAAUCCGGUGACGACGAGGAUGAUGACUUAGAUAAUGAAGACAAACAGACUCCCGUCGACAUCAUAUCGGAAGAAUCCGCUUUUGUGUCCGCAAAUCUUCCUGGGGAUGCCCGCCAAUGGCUGGCAAACGAAGACGCAGAAGCAGACAAAGCUAUGUCGACUUUUGCUACCGACCAUUGACCAUUUGACAUUUGACUGGACAUGUGACCAUAAUUUAUUUAAAGGACAGCGAGACGUUGACAGCCACACCUGGACCUACAUUCAA